UACGUAGGGUGCAAGCGUUGUCCGGAAUUAUUGGGCGGAAAGAGCUCGUAGGCGGUUCGUCGCGUCGGCUGUGAAAUCCCGAGGCUCAACCUCGGGUCUGCAGUCGAUACGGGCGGACUGGAGUUCGGCAGGGGAGACUGGAAUUCCUGGUGUAGCGGUGAAAUGCGCAGAUAUCAGGAGGAACACCGGUGGCGAAGGCGGGUCUCUGGGCCGAUACUGACGCUGAGGAGCGAAAGCGUGGGGAGCGAACAGG
rnacentral:rRNA from 1 species